GAAUAUAGCUCAGUUGGUAGAGUGCUUGCCUUGCAUGCACAAGGCCCUGGGUUCGAUCCCCAGCACCA
rnacentral:tRNA from 1 species